CGCGAAUUUUAACUAGUAUCAUAUUUCAUAACAUAAUGAACAAUGUAAACUAGCCAAUUCUUUUCACCUACGAAAUGUCGACAAUAUACCUUAAUACAUGUAUUAAAAUUCGCGCAGUAGCUACUAGUUGGUGCGCCAAACGCUUUGUGGUAGCUAUACUAAAGAUAAAGCGUGCCUUCAAAAUACCUACAAGAAUUAAGACAUUUAUUAUAUGUCUUAUAUGGUUCUCAUUUGCCUAAUACAAUAACAUUUAGCUCGACGCGAAUUUUAAAUAGUAUCAUAUUUCAUAAUAUAAUGAACAAUGUAAACUAGACAAUUCUUUUCGGCAUGUAGUAAAACACUGACUACCGGAACACCGGAACACCGCCGGAACACCGCCGGAACACCACCGGAACACCACCUAACCCCAACCCUAACCCCCAAUCCUAACCCCAACCCCAACCC